rnacentral:rRNA from 1 species
AAUGAACGUUGGCGGCGUGGAUUAGGCAUGCAAGUCGUGCGAGAAGUUCUCUUAGCUUGCUUUGAGAACGGACAGCGGCGAAAGGGAGAGUAACGCGUGGUUACGUGCCCCGAGGUCCAGGAUAGCGUUGGGAAACUGGCGGUAAUACUGGAUGAUAUCUUCGGAUCAAAGGUGUGAUUCCGCCUUGGGAUCGGACCGCGUACUAUUAGCUUGUUGGUGGGGUAAUGGCCUACCAAGGCUGCGAUGGUUACCGGGUGUGAGAGCAUGGCCCGGCUCACUGGGACUGAGACACUGCCCAGACAUCUACGGAUGGCUGCAGUCGAGAAUCUUCGGCAAUGGACGAAAGUCUGACCGAGCGACGCCGCGUGCGGGAUGAAGGCCCUCGGGUUGUAAACCGCUGUCAGUUUGGAGGAAGGGAGUAUGCAGAAUGCUCCUUGACCGAUAUUCAGAGGAAGGACGGGCUAAGUUCG